AGCAAUACCUUGCUGAUACGGAAGUGGAUCCGAAGCCUCUACAACUUAGACUCUCCACCUCCUCCUCCACUCCUACUCAAUACGUCCCCAUCGUACAGAACGGUAAGGCCGCGGGCCACGGAGCAUUCUCAAGCUGAGAAAA
rfam:Anopheles gambiae M scf_1925488986 genomic scaffold, whole genome shotgun sequence.